CUGCCACAACGGGAGAAAAAUUAAGGGAACUCGAUGGGAUGAAAUCGUAGUACGUCUCAUCAACUGCCCCGGCCGGCCGUGCCAUGAUACCUUUUUACCAAAUCGAGGGGUAGUCGUGUUUAUAGUCGACCACACUAAUUCACGAACGUUCAUUUAGAAUGAAUCUAGCGAACGAUUUCCAACCAAUUAAACUAUCCUUUUUAGGAAAGCACUCAAUCUACUAUUUUUGGACGAAUCUAGAGACACGCAACCCCUAGGCUUCUUUCGGGCGGACGUUGCGUGCACUUUUUUUUUUCUUUUCGUAUGCAGCCACACGAGCGACGGUAGUUUUACUUUUGUUUUUUUAUAAAACCACAUGCAUAACUUAGAAAACUGAGUUACACAGUAUAACUUUUAAGAUUAACUUAGUAGUUCUAAGUUUUACAACAUUACCUUUUUCUUUUUGUGUAAAAUUUAUAUUAUUAAAACAAUUGCACCUUUUUCUUUACGUUUCAUCGGCUUUUUUCAAAAAAUAAUCAUCCAGAAACAUAGAAAAAAGGAUUUUGAAAAGGAUGGGGGAGUAAAAUAAAAAUAACUUUUACACCUUAUAUUACACAACAACUUCUAUAUAGAUAAUGUGAAGCUACAUAACAAGUUACAUAAUAGAUUUGCAUAACUUAUACAACUAUGGUAUUCAGCAUCUAUGUAUUUUUAAUUAGAAGAUAUGCAAAAUAUAUAAUGUGUAAAAUAAUAAAUUCAAAUAACAAAGUUGACUAGAGAAACACUUUAGUUAAUAGCAAAUACUAACAUGGUUAUCUAAUAUAAUGUGAUAACACAUGAAACUAAAUGAAGUAAGUUUAUCAAAUAAGUUAAGAUGGUAUACACAUGAAACACAAGUUAGAUAUAUAACUAUAUACAAUAAGUUAAUGAAAUAAGUUAGUUAGCAUUCUUUUAUGGAUGGAGGUAGUAAUUUAGAAUAGAGGGAGUAUAUAAGUUACACAAUACGACUUAUGUACAUAAGUUACCGAAAUAAUAUUUUAGUGUAUAUACAAAGUUGUGCUUUUAUAAAAGUUAUUCUACACAAACAUAAGUUAUACAGUGCA
rnacentral:lncRNA from 1 species